rnacentral:rRNA from 1 species
AUACCUAAAACGUUGCUUCGGCGGGAACAGACGGCCCCGUAACACGGGCCGCCCCCGCCAGAGGACCCCCUAACUCUGUUUCUAUUAUGUUUCUUCUGAGUAAAACAAGCAAAUAAAUUAAAACUUUCAACAACGGAUCUCUUGGCUCUGGCAUCGAUGAAGAACGCAGCGAAAUGCGAUAAGUAAUGUGAAUUGCAGAAUUCAGUGAAUCAUCGAAUCUUUGAACGCACAUUGCGCCCGCCAGUAUUCUGGCGGGCAUGCCUGUUCGAGCGUCAUUACAACCCUCAGGCCCCCGGGCCUGGCGUUGGGGAUCGGCGAGGCGCCCCCUGCGGGCACACGCCGUCCCCCAAAUACAGUGGCGGUCCCGCCGCAGCUUCCAUUGCGUAGUAGCUAACACCUCGCAACUGGAGAGCGGCGCGGCCACGCCGUAAAACACCCAACUUCUGAAUGUUGACCUCGAAUCAGGUAGGAAUACCCGCUGAACUUAAGCAUAUCAAUAGGCCG